rfam:Lactobacillus salivarius TCC118, complete genome.
GGAGAGUUGGCAGAGUGGUAAUGCACCGGACUCGAAAUCCGGCGAGCCAGUUUAUACUGGUGCGCAGGUUCAAAUCCUGUACUCUCCU